rnacentral:lncRNA from 1 species
GGGGAGGCUAGGGGCUUAGGGGAGAAGCCUAGGAGGACGUCUUUCUACAAAUUACCCUUGAAUAGAUGCAGUCUUAAUCAUGUAUUCUGAACCCAAGGUCUCCCUCAAUAAAAAAUAAGAAAGGAUUGCAAGAUCAAAAAGUCAACUGGUCUCUCAAGCCCCUAAUAAACUUUGUAGCUGUCUCAGACACUUUUAGUUUAAAAAAAAACAAAAAAACAAAAAACAAGGUUAAACCCCUGGCCAGGUUCUUGCCUCCCAAGUACAGAUAACUGACGCGGGCUGCGUGUGGGAACUCGUCUCCUCUUUGUAUUUUUCAAUUCUUUGCCGGGUUGUAGCAGUUUCCUCUACCUGAGUCCAGCCGCCAAACACAACAGCUUCUUCCUUCCUCCACCCUUCUCUCCUACCAAACUCAGCUUCUUGGAACCCACCCAGAACACCAUUCAGAUGCAAGUCGAAUGCCCCCACUACUGAAUUGGAGAAGAUGGAGAAGAGGGAAAGAAAAAUUAGGGUAGGUCUCAAUACCAUAAUUUAUACCCUACUCCUGAAAUUAUAGAUUAUUGUUGUUGAAAUCUUUACACAGUUGUUGGACUACACCAAAAUUCUGUAUUCUAUAUGAGCAUAAAUUCAGAUGCAUAAGUACACAGCUACCAUAUCUAUGUAAAUGGAGACAUCCUAGAGUAUUACACCUUGCCACAGAUGUUGGAUUUUAUUCGUGGAAUUAAUAUCUUCCAGAAAAGUUAAAAAUGGAUUUUUCAUCCCCUACGCACCCUGAAUAUUUCUUUAACUAGUAUGUAGGACCACCAUUUUGUCGCUUUGUUAAUCUUGAAAACCAAACGAGUCACGGUGACGCCACCUUAAGACGUCUGGCUGCCAGCAGAAAGGCUGUGCUUACUCCGACCUUGCUAUGAUCUAAAGUGUUUUGUUUACAGUCAAGGCACCGUAGAACUGCGGGGCAAAUAGUGAGAGGGCAGGCGUCCGCUGUAGUAGCGUCGAAGCGUGAAAAAAAUACGACGGAGUCCCCGAGGGAAGAGAACCCGGAGCUGUGAGCGCCAUCCUCCUGUGGACAGUAGGCGGCGGCUUUAAAAGACUGAGCCCGGGAGAAGAAUUUCCAAUAAACAGCCUAAAGGCGGAGCCUGGGAGAAGACAGAAAGUUACACUCGCGCUGCUCUGAUAAAGGGGGUUCGGCUGCCCCCAAGCCCCAGAAUCUCGUCCUGGGUGAUGUUUUUGUUGUCAGUUUCACUCUUGGUAGUCUUCUCCUUAGAGCUGAGAAGUGGCUCAUAAGCCACCCAAGAUUUGUGUGUGUCCUUUAACAGCUUAGGAGAGAGACGAAGACCAAAAUUACUUAAAGGAAAACACCUGUGUGGUAGCCGAAUGUCCCGGCGGGGCGGCUCAGCAAGCUCGCCUCCCAGGUGCAGUUCCUCGCAGGGGGGAAGUCAGGCAGCCCCCAAAACUUCUGCGAAGGCGCACGCUUCCUGGCCCCAUUGCCCCUCCCACCUCGAGCACACGAUUUUAAUCCUUCCUCGAGGAUGCUUACGGUGAGGCGACGCUCGCUCAAUUUCACUAUGCUCCUAAACCGACACAUUUUUAGAGUUUGGAAAUUUCACAGUCUGUUUCUGACCCUUUUAAUUCAAUUUAAUAAAUACUUACUGAGCAUUUUCUAUUAAU